rnacentral:rRNA from 1 species
UGACAGUACUCCUACGGGGAGGCAGCAGUGGGGGAAUAUUGCACAAUGGGCGCAAGCCUGAUGCAGCCAUGCCGCGUGUGUGAAGAAGGCCUUCGGGUUGUAAAGCACUUUCAGUCGUGAGGAAGGUAGUGUAGUUAAUAGCUGCAUUAUUUGACGUUAGCGACAGAAGAAGCACCGGCUAACUCCGUGCCAGCCAGCCGCGGUAAUACGGAGGGUGCGAGCGUUAAUCGGAAUUACUGGGCGUAAAGCGCAUGCAGGUGGUUUGUUAAGUCAGAUGUGAAAGCCCGGGGCGUCAACCUCGGAAUAGCAUUUGAAACUGGCAGACUAGAGUACUGUAGAGGGGGGUAGGAAUUUCAGGUGUAGCGGUGAAAUGCGUAGAGAUCUGAAGGAAUACCGGUGGCGAAGGCGGCCCCCUGGACAGAUACUGACACUCAGAUGCGAAAGCGUGGGGAGCAAACAGGAUUAGAUACCCUGGUAG